GGGGAUUUAGCUCAGUGGUAGAGCGCUUGCCUAGCAAGCACAAGGCCCUGGGUUCAGUCCCCAGCCCCU
rnacentral:tRNA from 1 species